rnacentral:rRNA from 1 species
UACGAAGGGGGCUAGCGUUGUUCGGAAUUACUGGGCGUAAAGCGCGCGCAGGCGGUUUUCCAAGUCAGUGGUGAAAGCCCGGAGCUCAACUCCGGAAAUGCCAUUGAAACUGUAAAACUUGAGUAUGAGAGAGGUGAGUGGAAUUCCCAGUGUAGAGGUGAAAUUCGUAGAUAUUGGGAAGAACACCGGUGGCGAAGGCGGCUCACUGGCUCGUAACUGACGCUCAGGCGCGAUAGCGUGGGGAUCAAACAGG